rnacentral:rRNA from 1 species
UACGUAGGCAGCGAGCGUUGUUCGGAGUUACUGGGCGUAAAGAGUGCGUAGGCGGUUUUCUAAGUUUGGUGUGAAAUCUCCCGCUUAACUGGGAGGGUGCGCCGAAGACUGGAAGGCUUGAGUAUGGGAGAGGUAAGCGGAAUUCCUGGUGUAGCGGUGAAAUGCGUAGAGAUGUGGAGGAACACCAGUGGCGAAGACGGCUUUCUGGUCUGUAACUGACGCUGAGGCGCGAAAGCGUGGGGAGCAAACAGG